rnacentral:rRNA from 1 species
UACGUAGGGUGCAAGCGUUGUCCGGAAUUAUUGGGCGUAAAGAGCUCGUAGGCGGUCUGUCGCGUCGGCUGUGAAAUCCCGAGGCUCAACCUCGGGUCUGCAGUCGAUACGGGCAAACUAGAGUAUUGCAGGGGAGACUGGAAUUCCUGGUGUAGCGGUGAAAUGCGCAGAUAUCAGGAGGAACACCGGCGGCGAAGGCGGGUCUCUGGGCCUGACCUGACGCUGAGGAGCGAAAGCGUGGGGAGCGAACGGG